rnacentral:tRNA from 1 species
UUACUGAUAGGUUAUUUAAACUGGCAAAUUGUGGUUUUGUUGAUUACUCUCUGUGUUUGUAUCAGUAAA